rnacentral:lncRNA from 1 species
AACUUUACAAAUUAAUUCUACCAAUUGGUAAGCGACUAUUAUCAUUUUAUUUAUUUUAAUUUUUUUUAAUUUAUUCUUUUUAUAAUAUGCAGAUUAUGCAAGGAGGUGAAUCCAUAUCUAAGAAGCUAAGACCAUCAAGUUAUAGGCCAACAAAAUAUGUGACAUGUUAUAAUGGCUGUAAUGUAAAUGCUUUUAAAUUUUACAUCCAGUAAUAUGGAUAUCAUAAGAGUACAAGAACAGCGGUGUAUGUAUAAAAGACAGCUGGUGGGAAG